rnacentral:tRNA from 1 species
GACCUCGUAGCUCAGUUGGCUAGAGCGUUGGACUGUGCUAAAGCCUUCCCCUUGCUGACGUUGGUUCAAAUCCCACCGAGGCCA